CUAGAUAACAUCAUCAGUGCCACUGAUUAUGAGGUGCGCUGAUGAUCGCAAUGGUCAUGAUGAUUGUGUGCACACUGAUGAUGUUACCUAGCUGAAUCAUAAGACAUCUGCAAGCAAACAUCCAAGUUCAGAGAGCAUCACAUUUCUCUCCUCCAGCAUCUGAGAAGCUCAAGCAUAGCUUGAGAAGGAGGAAGAGAAGCCAUGAAGAUGGAGAAGACGAAGUGAUGGGGAGGAAGAGGGUGUCAGGAGCAGGAAGCAAUGGGAUAACGUCCUGAAGAAAUGCUCCGCUUCCUGGCUGGUAUUUGCCGUCCACACAUUUACCUGCUUUCCAAUGGACCAACUUGCAUAAUAAAGUGGCUUCCUCUGCCCCUCCAAAAAAC